GCGCCGGAGGCGCGACCUGAGCCUUCCAAGCUCAUGGCCCGGGUUCAAAUCCCGGUCGGUGCA
rfam:Halarchaeum acidiphilum MH1-52-1 DNA, contig: HAL114.